CCUACGGGUGGCAGCAGUAGGGAAUCUUCCACAAUGGGCGAAAGCCUGAUGGAGCAACGCCGCGUGGGUGAAGAAGGUCUUCGGAUCAUAAAACUCUGUUGUUAGAGAAGAAAGUGCGUGAGAGUAACUGUUCACGAUUCGACGGUAUCUAACCAGAAAGACACGGCUAACUACGUGCCAGCGGCCGCGGUAAUACGAAGGAUGCGAGCGUUAUCCGGAUUUAUUGGGUUUAAAGGGUGCGUAGGCGGCCGCUUAAGUCAGCGGUAAAAUUGCGGGGCUAAACCUCGUCGAGCCGUUGAAACUGGGUGCCUUGAGUGGGCGAGAGGUACGCGGAAUGCGUGGUGUAGCGGUGAAAUGCGUAGAUAUCACGCAGAACUCCGAUGGCGAAGGCAGCGUACCGGCGCCCAACUGACGCUGAGGCACGAAGGCGUGGGUAUCAAACAGGAUUAGAUACCCCAGUAGUC
rnacentral:rRNA from 1 species